GAUCAAUCUAGCAGUCAUUCUAGAUCUAUGAUUUAUCAUGUUCAUAACAUAUAGUGAUUAGUCAAUAAUCACUGACGAAAAAUAAUGAUUCUUCUUUUUCUCUCUUUUGCUUGUUUCAACAGGAGCUAACUACACCCCAAAGGCUAUUUUAGGAGCCACAGCACUGAGCAUCUUUGGCUUUGAGCCAACUACACCCCAGAGACUCUUUUAAGGGCCACCUAGAAUCACGGCACCUUUGGCUUUAUCAGCUGUCAGUGGUUAUGGAGGCCAUGCAGCCAAGACCAACUGGGAUGCUUGUUGCCAUAUUUCUUUUUGUUGCAAUAUUGUCAUGAUCUCUGCUUUGAUUUGUUGUUAUGAAUU